UACGAAGGGGGGCUAGCGUUGCUCGGAAUCACUGGGCGUAAAGGGUGCGUAGGCGGGUCUUUUAAGUCAGGGGUGAAAUCCUGGAGCUCAACUCCCAGAACUGCCUUUGAUACUGAAGAUCUUGAGUUCGGGAGAGGUGAGUGGAACUGCGAGUGUAGAGGUGAAAUUCGUAGAUAUUCGCAAGAACACCAGUGGCGAAGGCGGCUUACUG
rnacentral:rRNA from 1 species